UGGGAGGCUGGAGCAGGCAGGGGUCAGUCCUGUGCUGCGGCCCUUGCACUCGGGGGCUGAGCCGUGUGAGGGCGUCUGGCUCUGCCUCACUGGCCCCUCACUGGCUCUCUCCCUUUGCCACCUGCCUGUGGACCCUUUUUCUCUGGAGCUGUCUGGGAUUGCGCCACUGUGGUGACGGUCCCUGAGGCACUCCUGGAGCUGGACCUGGAGCCCAUGCAGAGGCAUCAUCACUGGACAUCUGCCAGGGGCCUUGGAGAGCUGUAGACACCGCCUGAUCCAGGGAGCUGGACGAAUUUGGCUUGAGUGCCCUUCAUGGUUUUGGCUGUUAGUCUGAAAAUGGGCCCGCGUUUUCCUUUUUGGGCACUUUGGAGCUUGGUUCACUCCGUCCAGGAGCAGGUCCACGUGGCAGCGACCACGUCUGUGGAAGUCUGAAGCCCCAUCCACGAAGCCAUCCGGCCGGAAUUGUGGGGUCUUCCGACAGCUCCCACCCAUGUCUGCUUGCUGACCCAGUCGGCUAAGCUAUUGCUACAAACGGAAACAUGUGUCACCUAUUUUGUGCAGACAAAGCGGCUGCACCCGUUUGCAUUCCCAGCAGCAGUGCAGGAGGGGCCCGUUGAGUGUUUAACAGCGGCGGGCACGCCAGGAGUGGGGAGCUGAGUCGAUGUGUGUCAUCACACACAGGAGGAGCCUGGCCGAGGCAGAUCCGGGACCAAGGCCUGAGCACCAGUGUGCGUUUGGAGAGCUGGGAGUGGUCCUCACUUAGCAGGUGAGGGGCUCCUGCUCACACGCAUUGGCUGAAGGGCUCGACAGCAUCACUCUAGAUGCCCCAGGAAUUGGUGCUGUCAGACUGGCUGCCACAGAGGACACAGCAGGGAGGGUCCCCGGCCGCUGGCGCUGCCCAGGAAUGUGCUGGAACAAGGAAACAGAGGAGAAUCUCCUACUGCAUUGUGGGAUGGAGACAUCCUUAUGACAUCCAUUAAAGCCUAAAAAGUGUGAAAAAGCUCUUGAGAGUUGAAGAAAGGAGUUUGAAUGAAUCACUGUCAGAGGAAAGAAAAGACAUUUGAAAAGUACAGUUAGGUGUUUCCAACAUCCCACAUAAAUAGUCCUACCUGCAAAUAGUCCUGUUUGAUGAAGGAACAACAUGCAUGCAACAGAAAAGAAAAUAGCGCCAUGUAAUCAGUAUGU